GACGAACGCUGGCGGCGUGCUUAACACAUGCAAGUCGAACGGAAAGGCCCUUCUUGUGUUGGUUGCUCGACUGGCGAACGGGUAAGUAACACGUGAGUAACCUUCCCUUUACUUUUGGAUAACUUCAGGAAACUCUGGCUACGACCAGAUAUGAUCUCCUCCUGCAUGGUGUGGGUUAGAAAGUUUCGUCGGUUGGGGAUGGACUCCCGGCUUAUCAGCUUGUUGGUGGGGUAGUUGCUUACCAAGGCUUUGACGGGUAGCCGGCCUGAGAGGGUGACCGGCAAAAUUGGGACUGGGAUCGGGCCCAGCUUCUUACGGGAGGCAGAAGUGGGGAAUAUUGAAAAAUGGGCGGAAGCCUGAUGAAGAAACGCGGCGUGCGGGAUGCCGGCCUUCGGGUUGUAACCCCCUUUCGCAUGUGCCGAAGCGGGAGUGACGGUAAUGGGUAAAGAAGCACCGGCUAACUACGUG
rnacentral:rRNA from 1 species